AAAAUGCGCAAAGCAGUCUCCGUAACUACCUUUUCAAAGCUUCCUUCCCUGAUUAGCAAGCAUUUCCCAGCUCUUCCAUCCCUUCUUAAAACCCCCAAAAUCCUAAUUUCCAUGAGUAGUUCAAUUCCUCUCCUGCUCACACUCUUGAAAUUCCUGAGAAACCAUUUUCCUCACUCACAAGUUCCUCGUCCGCCAACAAACCCACUGUAAAUUUUCAUCGAUAGUUUUUCUUUUUCUCCUGGUAUUUUUUUUUUUUGGGAAUCCAUGGCGACGAGAAACCGGACCAUUCAGUACAAAAAGCACAGAGAUGCAGUGAAGAGCGUGCGUGAUCCUUUGUCAUCGUCGGUGUCAGGUUUGGGCGGUCCGGUUAUUGAAAUGGUUAACACUUCGAUACUACGUUCCAAUCAUGCCUCUUAUGCUCCCCUUAGCACUGAAGAUCCUGGUCCUUCCAGUAGUGAUGCCUUUACCAUUGGUUUGCCACCAGCCUGGU
rnacentral:misc_RNA from 1 species